rnacentral:rRNA from 1 species
CGGAGGGUGCAAGCGUUAUCCGGAUUUACUGGGUUUAAAGGGUGCGCAGGUGGAUAUAUAAGUCAGUGGUGAAAUACUCCGAGCUUAACUCGGAAACUGCCGUUGAUACUAUGUAUCUUGAAUCUUCUGGAGGUAAGCGGAAUAUGUCAUGUAGCGGUGAAAUGCUUAGAUAUGACAUAGAACACCAAUUGCGAAGGCAGCUUACUACGGGAGCAUUGACACUCAGGCACGAAAGCGUGGGAGCAAACAGGAUU